rnacentral:piRNA from 1 species
UUAAGCUGAGGCAGGGUCCAGGAUGGA